rnacentral:rRNA from 1 species
GACGUAGGGCGCGAGCGUUGUCCGGAUUUAUUGGGCGUAAAGAGCUCGUAGGCGGUCUGUCGCGUCUGCUGUGAAAACUCGGGGCUUAACCCUGGGCCUGCAGUGGGUACGGGCAGACUAGAGUGCGGUAGGGGAGACUGGAAUUCCUGGUGUAGCGGUGAAAUGCGCAGAUAUCAGGAGGAACACCGGUGGCGAAGGCGGGUCUCUGGGCCGUAACUGACGCUGAGGAGCGAAAGCAUGGGGAGCGAACAGG